GCUACGGGGAGCAGCAGUCGAGAAUCAUUCACAAUGGGGGAAACCCUGAUGGGGCGACGCCGCGUGGGGGAAUGAAGGUCUGCGGAUUGUAAACCCCUGUCAUGUGGGAGCAAAUUAAAAAGAUAGUACCACAAGAGGAAGAGACGGCUAACGCUGUGCCAGCAGCCGCGGUAAUACAGAGGUCUCAAGCGUGGUUCGGAAGCACUGGGCGUAAAGCGUGCGUAGGCUGUUUCGUAAGUCGUGUGUGAAAGGCGCGGGCUCAACCCGCGGACGGCACCUGAUACUGCGAGACUAGAGUACUGGAGAGGGAACCGGAAUUCUCGGUGUAGCCGUGAACUGCGUAGAUAUCGCGAGGAACACUCGUGGCGAAGGCGGGUUCCUGGACAUUAACUGACGCUGAGGCACGAAAGCCAGGGGAGCGAACAGGAUUAGAUACCCGAGUAGUC
rnacentral:rRNA from 1 species